rnacentral:misc_RNA from 1 species
GAUGAAGAACGUAGCGAAAUGCGAUAAGUAGUGUGAAUUGCAGAAUUCAGUGAAUCAUCGAAUCUUUGAACGCACAUUGCGCCCCUUGGUAUCCCGAGGGGCAUGCCUGUUCGAGCGUCAUUUCACCACUCAAGCCUGGCUUGGUGUUGGGCGACGUCCUCUUUGGGGACGCGCCUCGAAACGCUCGGCGGCGUGGCACCGGCUUUAAGCGUAGCAGAAUCUUUCGCUUUGGAAGUCGGGGCCCCGUCUGCCGGAAGACCUGCUCGCAAGGUUGACCUCGGAUCAGGCAGGGAUAUCCGCUGAACUUAAGCAUAUCAAUAAGCGGAGGA